AGUGAACGCUGGCGGUAGGCCUAACACAUGCAAGUCGAACGGCAGCACAGUAAGAGCUUGCUCUUACGGGUGGCGAGUGGCGGACGGGUGAGGAAUACAUCGGAAUCUACUUUUUCGUGGGGGAUAACGUAGGGAAACUUACGCUAAUACCGCAUACGACCUACGGGUGAAAGCAGGGGAUCUUCUGACCUUGCGCGAUUGAAUGAGCCGAUGUCGGAUUAGCUAGUUGGCGGGGUAAAGGCCCACCAAGGCGACGAUCCGUAGCUGGUCUGAGAGGAUGAUCAGCCGCACGGGAACGGGGACACGGUCCAGACUCCUACGGGAGGCAGCAGUGGGGAAUAUUGGGCAAAGGGCGCAAGCCUGAUCCAGCCAUACCGCGUGGGUGAAGAAGGCCUUCGGGUUGUAAAGCCCUUUUGUGGGGAAAGAAAAGCAGCAGGUUAAUACCCAGCUGUUCUGACGGUACCCAAAGAAUAAGCACCGGCUAACUUCGUG
rnacentral:rRNA from 1 species